GGGUCAAUGAUGAGAACUUUAUAUUGCCUUGAGGAGUGGUGAUGACAUAAUAUCACGUACAAUGGCAUGACGCUGAGGCCC
rnacentral:snoRNA from 1 species